rnacentral:rRNA from 1 species
AUAAGCGGAGGAAAAGAAACCAACAGGGAUUGCCUUAGUAACGGCGAGUGAAGCGGCAACAGCUCAAAUUUGAAAUCUGGCUCUUUCAGAGUCCGAGUUGUAAUUUGCAGAGGGCGCUUUGGCUUUGGCAGCGGUCCAAGUUCCUUGGAACAGGACGUCACAGAGGGUGAGAAUCCCGUACGUGGUCGCUAGCUAUUGCCGUGUAAAGCCCCUUCGACGAGUCGAGUUGUUUGGGAAUGCAGCUCUAAAUGGGAGGUAAAUUUCUUCUAAAGCUAAAUAUUGGCCAGAGACCGAUAGCGCACAAGUAGAGUGAUCGAAAGAUGAAAAGCACUUUGGAAAGAGAGUCAAACAGCACGUGAAAUUGUUGAAAGGGAAGCGCUUGCAGCCAGACUUGCUUGCAGUUGCUCAUCCGGGCUUUUGCCCGGUGCACUCUUCUGCAGGCAGGCCAGCAUCAGUUUGGGCGGUGGGAUAAAGGUCUCUGACACGUUCCUUCCUUCGGGUUGGCCAUAUAGGGGAGACGUCAUACCACCAGCCUGGACUGAGGUCCGCGCAUCUGCUAGGAUGCUGGCGUAAUGGCUGUAAGCGGCCCGUCUUGAAACACGGACCAAGGAGUCUAACAUCUAUGCGAGUGUUUGGGUGUCAAGCCCGAGCGCGUAAUGAAAGUGAACGGAGGUGGGAACCCGCAAGGGCGCACCAUCGACCGAUCCUGAAGUUUACGGAAGGAUUUGAGUAAGAGCAUGGCUGUUGGGACCCGAAAGAUGGUGAACUAUGCUUGAAUAGGGUGAAGCCAGAGGAAACUCUGGUGGAGGCUCGCAGCGGUUCUGACGUGCAAAUCGAUCGUCAAAUUUGGGCAUAGGGGCGAAAGACUAAUCGAACUAUCUAGUAGCUGGU